AAGGAUCAUUAAUGAACACAUAAGAGGCUUUCUAUUUAGAAUCCUCAGCAAUUCAUUUUCACACUGUGCACUAUACUAUUUUACACCCAUUUUAAACCCAUUACAAGUUAUAAGAAUGUCAACAGUCUCUUUAUUGAGCAUAAACAAAACAAAACUUUCGACAACGGAUCUCUUGGCUCCCACAUCGAUGAAGAACGCAGCGAAAUGCGAUACGUAAUGUGAAUUGCAGAAUUCAGUAAAUCAUCGAAUCUUUGAACGCACCUUGCACUCUUUGGUAUUCCGAAGAGUAUGUCUGUUUGAGUGUCGUGAAUCUCUCAACCCCCCUGUUUUGUAAUGAGACAGGCGUGGGCUUGGAUUAUGGCUGUCUGUCGGACCUCUUAACUGAGCCGGCUCAGCUGAAAUAUACGAGCGACCCAAUGUUUACAUUAUAAAUGUGUUAACGGUUUGACUCGGCGUAAUAAUACUAUUCGCUGAGGACGUUUUCAUUAUAAGACAUUCAUUGACGCUUCUAAUGCGACUUUAAUUAGUCAUUCAUAACUCUAGACCUCAAAUCAGAUAGGACUACCCGCUGAACUUAAGCAUAUCAAUAAGUGGAGGAAAAGAAACUAACAAGGAUUCCCCUAGUAACGGCGAGUGAAGUGGGAAAAGCUCAACUUUGAAAUCUGGCAGCUUUGCUGUCCGAGUUGUAGUCUCGAGAAGCGUUUUCCGCGCUGAAGCAUGCAUGAGUCUGUUGGAAUACAGCGUCAUAGAGGGUGAGAACCCCGUUCGUGGCAUGCCUUUCAGUGCUUUGUGAUACGUUUUCGAUGAGUCGAGUCGUUUGGGAAUGCAGCUCUAAUUGGGUGGUAAAUUCCAUCUAAAGCUAAAUAUUGGUGGGAGACCGAUAGCAAACAAGUACCGUGAGGGAAAGAUGAAAAGCACUUUGGAAAGAGAGUUAAAAGUACGUGAAAUUGUCGAAAGGGAAACGAUUGAAGUCGGACGUGCAGGGUAACUUGCAGGCCAACAUCGGUUUCAUUAGCUGGAUAAAGGUUAGAGGAAGGUGGCAGCUCCGGCUGUGUUAUAGCCUCUAACUGAAUACAGAUAGCGAGACCGAGGACCGCAGCGCAAG
rnacentral:rRNA from 1 species